rnacentral:rRNA from 1 species
AUACGGAGGAUGCGAGCGUUAUCCGGAUUUAUUGGGUUUAAAGGGUGCGUAGGCGGGCUGUUAAGCGUGAGGUGAAAGCUCGGGGCUCAACCCCGGAACUGCCUCGCGAACUGGCGGGCUUGAAUGUCCGUGCCGGGGGCGGAAUGGGUGGUGUAGCGGUGAAAUGCAUAGAGAUCACACAGAACACCGAUUGCGAAGGCAUCUGACGAAUCCGUCACUGACGCUGAGGCACGAAAGCGUGGGGAUAGAACAGGAUUAGAUACCCUGGUAUUCCACGCCGUAAACGAUGAUGACUAACCGUCGGCGAUAGACAGCCGGUGGCCAAGCGAAAGCGAUAAGUCAUCCACCUGGGGAGUACGUCGGCAACGAUGAAACUCAAAUGAAUUGACGGGG